AUGUUGACGUGAAUUUCCAAUGUGUGGUGUUAUUUCGAAGCGAUCAUUAUCCGUAUCUUCCGGUGCAGCAGAUCAGUACGCGAUCUCUAGUACCGACACAACUGACUGACAAACCGACAAUAGAGAUCAGAGCUAUGAAGGCACGGAUGCGUAAUGUCAGUUAGUUGGUGCAGGAACGAUUCGAGGUGCGUUAGUCUCUGGAACGCAUGUCUUAAGGUUUCGGAUAUCAGCUGGGAUUGUGUUGAUGUGUCAAAAUCAAAAAUUAGGGUUCGGUAUUUAAAAUUUAAAAUGCCAGUUGUUAAUCUUUUAGAGCUGGAUAUAAAAACAGUUUUCGAGGGUCAUACGAUUAAGGAAGUCGAACAGAUACAGAAAAAAAUUCAAAAUGAAAGCGAACGAAAGAAAGUCGAGCUUCGUACGCUUGUUGGAGAACGAUAUCGAGAUUUGAUAGAAGCUGCGGAUACGAUAGCAGAGAUGAAGCAGACUUCCGAGUGCGUUAUAGCAAGGAUCUGCAACAUGGAGGAGACUUGUCAUAAGUUGCAACAGAAAUACCUCAUCGGGUUUAAAAUGGAUCCACCGGAACAGAUGUUGGAAAGCAAUAAGUCAAACGAAGCUUACGACUCGAUAGUAAUGCAAAUCAAAAUUCUGAUGGACAUACCGGAGCAAAUAUGGUCGGCGGUAGAUACGGAGAAUUUUCUACUGGCCACGCAACUGUUUCUGUUCGCUCAGCACAUCAAUUACAGUCUAAGGAUUGAAGUUGGCAAUUCGGACCUGGCUACCAAGUAUCCGAUAAUCCUCAAACAGUGGGGCGUCAUAAGCCACUUUAGAAAUGUAAUUUUAACCGGGUGUAAUAAGGUUCUGCAGUCGCUUGAACUCCCAGUUGAGUCAGCAGCCAAUUGUUUAGCUUCACUGGUUCUUUUGGAUGGCAUGGCAUCUACAGAGUUGUUGAAGAAAUUGAUUACUCUUCGAAGCCAAGCCGUCGAGGCCGUAAUAAAAGACGAGAGCCAUCUUAGCGUGAGGAAUCGAAUUAGCUUGAGCGUUAAGAUGCUGACACACGUGAUCGAUCUGCUUUAUUCCUGUUUUGUGGAGACGAACGGCAAGGAACAGGGCCUUGUGUUGCAAUGUGUAGAGGAAGUAGCUGGUUCAAACGCGCCAACAACUUUGUCCCUGCUAAAGGUAGACAGGGAUUUGACAGAUAAAUUCUUGUCACCAUUCGCAAAGAGCCACAAACCGUCAACUCGGGGCGAGAUUGAACCAAUUCCGGAAGCGGAGUUAAAAAAUAAUUUGACAAACUGGCUCAGCUGGGUGGAGGGUUUUGUAAAACGUGAGGUCUCAAAACUGCUUGAUCUAGUGACGUCGGUCAAAGGGAUACACAAUAUCAGAGAAGAGGUUCUCGCCCUGGAAGUUCCUCAGAAUUGGGAAAUCAUGUGCAAGAAAUUAUCUUUGGAAAAGACGGUAAAUUUCUGGGGGGAUUACUUUCAGCUGUUGCUGACCGAGCGUGUAAAGGGAAUCGUGAGCAUCAAGUGGGACGAAACUCUGUUCAAUUUGAAGACCGACCUCUUCGACACCCUGAACAAGGUGGCCCACGAUAAAUGCGAGUAUCCCGAGCACGAUCUGAGGUGGUACAUUUGGAAAGAUUCCCCAUCAGACAUACCGCAAAAAUUGAACAGGAACGGGGCCGACAACGAGCGGCUUUUGCUGAUGAAGACGCGGGGCUUUUCUCCGAAUUUGGCUAAACUUUGCGAGAGUUUUGACAGAAAUUUGCUCAACCUGCUGCAGGAUCUUCACCUUUAUCUUUACCAAAGUCAAAAGUCGACAACGACGACGACCGAUCUCCUGGCUGUUAAAAUCUCGAGCACUCUGAAUAAGUUCGUAGACCGCGAAAUCGUGCAGGAACAACUCCAAGUAAUAAGCACGCAGAAGGUACACGAAUUGUCACAGUUUAUCAGGGAUGAAUGCCUCGUCGAAGAUGCGAAGGUGGGAAAGCGGGAGGUGAACGCGAUUCUGACUGCGAGGUUUUUCCAAGCACUGACUAUACUCUGCCCGAGUUUGAACAAGUGUUUCACCCUUUCGAAAGUCUCGGGUAUCGUUAUACCGAACACGAAGUGGCAGUCGAUUUGCGAUACUUUGAGGGACGACAGCCUCGCCGCUUGGACAGUUUGGGCCAAGAUUUUCAAACGGAAAAUUCACGAUCACAAGGAAGGAAUUAUGCCAAGGUCUCUCAACGUUUUGAAAAUGCAAACAAUGAUUUGCGACUGGGAGAAAGUCACGAUCGAGGAGGAGGCCGAGGAAGGGAAAAGAAUGAAGUCUGAAAUUUUGGUACCCUACCAACCUUCCAUAUCCGUGCAGAAGUUCCUGGCCGUUGUUAGCAAAGACUUGAAUUCGAUAAUUCCUCACACGUUGCCAAAGAAAAUACUACACGAAAUAGUGGACACGGUAGUGACGGAAUUGUUUGAAUAUUACGCGGAGUUAUCGAAGAAUGACGACUUGAAGCAGAAACAAGCCCUGCAAACGUUGCUGGACACGAAAUACGUCACACUGUUAAUGAUUCCUCGAGAGAAUAAAAAAUUUGUAGACAAGUCGUCUCAAAUAUGCGACGACAUUCAGUCGAAGAUCGAUCCCUUCGAUUUGGACGUAUUUUAUCCGUUCAUACACGCGAACGUAAAGAAGAGCGCUCAGAGGACGCAGUUGAUAUUCGGAAACCUGGUGCCUCACUCGGAGCAGCUGCUCUCCGUUCUCGGAGCCCGGAUGAACCCUGUAGCUGGUGACGGCGCAAAAGGUGCAACAGAAGCUCCAGGAGUCCUGGCCGUUUGUUCCGGAGCUCCGUGGUUUCCUCCUCUGACGGUGACAGCGCCGGCGAGAACGGUGCCAAUAGUCUCGAUAGCCUCGCUGCAGGACAAGUCGAUGAGUACCGCAUUACGAGUCCCGUUGCCUUCGUAAAUUUGGCUUAACAGCGGCGUUUAUAGGGUGAUGAACAGAGGGAAGGGCGCUGCAUGGACAAGCGGAAGAAAACGCCGACCAAGACUCACGCAAGGACCGAUUCUGCCGGAGCCAGUAUCAAGUCAGGCGCUGCCGCCUUCUUCGGAGCCAUGGGUUCCGAUUGGUUCGGUACCGGAUAGAAAAAUUCAAUGCAAAUAUCGAGCUGUAUUGUACAGUGGCUGGUCAGCUUGUGUUAAUAAAAUUUGUAAAUAUACGCAUCAUCCAGAUAUUGUCGAAAAAAUAAUCUCGAAUAAAUCUGUCUGGUUGUUGAA